rnacentral:lncRNA from 1 species
GCUGAGGUGCAGAAACAGAUGGGGAAGCUGAUGAGUGUGCGGCUGUGUCCACCAGUGCCAGGCCAGGCCUUGAUGGACAUGGUGGUCAGUCCGCCAACACCCUCCGAGCCGUCCUUCAAGCAGUUUCAAGCAGUGAGCAGACCAGACCAGGCCAAAGAUAUCUGGUGAUCCAGCUUUGGGUGGGUCUAUAGAGGGACAGAUUGAAACCCUCUUCCAUAAUUACUUCCCGUGACUGCAGGAGAGACAGGAGGUGCUGGCUGAACUAGCAGCCAAGGCUAAGCUCACGGAGCAGGUCUUCAAUGAGGCUCCCGGGAUCCGCUGCAACCCAGUGCAGGGCGCCAUGUAUUCCUUCCCUCAAGUGCAGCUGCCCUUGAAAGCGGUGCAGCGUGCUCAGGAACUGGGCCUGGCCCCUGACAUGUUCUUCUGCCUGUGCCUCCUGGAAGAGACUGGCAUCUGCGUUGUGCCCGGGAGUGGCUUUGGGCAGCAGGAGGGCACCUAUCAUUUCCGGAUGACCAUUCUGCCCCCCAUGGAGAAACUGCGGCUGCUGCUGGAAAAACUCAGUCACUUCCAUGCCAAGUUCACCCAUGAGUACUCCUGAAGCCACUGCUAGGGCCACACUGGACAGUCUCUGACGCAACAAACCGAGGGUCCUUAGGAACCCUCAGUAUUUCUGAUUUUGUCUAGGGUCUCGGUAACUGUCCCUGCGGGUCCCUAAUAAAUCUGAUGUCAGCCUGAUUUGAAGUGGCUGCCUGGGUGACCCCAGCUUUUCACUUACCUGAUUGGCUUUGUGUAGACACACAGACUCCACUUAAGGGACACUGGAAACGGCAUUUAGAGGAGUUAUUAAGGAUGGCUCCCAGGAAAGGGCCCUCCAUUAUCAGUCAUCCACUUGGCUUGAGACAGGUGCAUCUGUGUGCUGGGUCUUCGCUACGGUCUCAAGUGUGGGGAACGUGAUGACCAGUUAAAUAAAAUCAACCAACAUACUAU